UCCUGGCUUUUGGAGAAAGCAGCUGGUUUUACAGAAAACAGAGGUGGCCCUGGGAGUUUGAGGGGCUGCUGGAACAGACUGCCUGCCUGCUGGAAGCCCCGCACCAGAGGCAGAGGCUGCUCCUUGGAGUGAAGGAGAAAUAGGAAAAAUGAGAAUGAAAGCCACAGCGGCCACCAGGAUUGUGGAGCUGCCCACUUUUAAUAUACAGCUCGCAGGUCCACGGUCUGCCCUGAAAUCCCAGCUUGUGGGGAGUCUCCAGCCCUCCUGGGGAAGGACUCACAGAAGGGACUAAUCCUCUGCCACCAGCGUGAGCAAGGGUUGUGGCAUCCUGCGCCAGCAGGGAGGCAAAGGGAAACACGAAGAAUCCCAACACGUGAGCGCUGUCGUUAUUGUCUUCACUCGGUGAGACAAACUGUUAAAGCCUGAAAGGACAGGCAUCUCUAGGGAGAGGUUUUCAGCCAGCGUAUAAAUCAAAAAAUUCACCUAACUUUUCCCUUUCCAUUCGGGCCAGCGUUUUAAUUCUGUUUCAUUUGGCAGCCCCUGUUCAUUUUCAGAAUAUUAAAGAACUGGAUUAAAUAAUUAAAAGUUUUCCUUUGCAAACUUCGCUCCUUGGCUUAUCACCAGGUUCGUACCAGGAUGGGGACACCAGCUACUCCUUUCAGCAACAAAAAUACACAGCAAACAGCAGGCUGGCUUCUCAGUGAUCGGCCUGGCCGUCCGGCACAAAUUUCCCCGUUGUUCCUGUGUCUGAGGGGAAUGUUCCCCACAUUUGGAGGACCCAAAUCCUGGUGGAGGGCUGUGGACCACCAAGGAAGCUCCAGCAUCGCCGGGGCAGUGUGCGUGGGCUGAGUGCAGGGUGCAAGAUGGGUCCAAAAUCAGAGCAGCCGAUGUUGUCCUCUCCUGCCAGGAGGGUGAGGACCACCAUCACCAUCGCUAGCAGUGGUUCCCUAAGCACUACCACGUGCUGGCUGGACACGGUGGACGUCUGACCUCGGAGACAGGAUGUCCUAACGUUGAGACACUCGCACCUCCGCUGAGAUUCCCAGCAGCGCACUGGGAUGCUUUAACACCAGGUUCGGAAGCCGGUUUCAGCAGGUUAGAGAGCUGGAUGUUAUUCCCAGGGUAUUCCCCGGCCUGUGGAGGCGCUGAGCUUGGAGAGUGCAUGCCUCAGGCUCUCCCUCUGGAAAUCCCCAUUGCUUGCACUGGGCUGUGAAACCACCCUGUGUGGUCCCCCCGUCGGCACAACCUUCCCAAGAGCUUUUCAUCACGGGUGGCCAAAAGUCGCCCCUUCCCUGGGAACACAAGGCAGGGCCCGUCUCUCUCCCACUUGUCUCACUGGGUGGGAAAAAUCCCAAGAGAUGGGUGCCUCAACCUCCUGCCCUCAUUCCCUCUGUGCUUGCCCUUCCCCAUCCUCUCUUUCCCGGAGACCACAGCCAUGCCUAUGUGCAAAUCUUCAAUGACCUCCCCAGGUCCUAUCUCUAUAAUACCAGCUUUUAAUAGAGUAAGAGGGUGAGGUCAUCACAGCCCGCUGCACUUUUAUUUCAGCACGGUCGCUAUAGCAGCGAAGGUCAAAACAAAACAUAUAGUUCACCAAAGCAAAGUUUCCUGGCUAAUGGUGUUCAUUUUUCUUUAUGAGCUGACUUUGGAAGACAGCGGAGCGGCAGCUAAUGGAAACUCGAAUGUCUUUCUCUUUCCCCUGUCUGCUCCUCUGUCUCCGCAGCAGUCGAGAUAAAGGUUAGACAUCUGGUUCGGAUCUGCUCUGUUUAACCAAAGAAAAGACCCGCUCCUGCCAUCUCGUAAAUCAUCCUGCAGCUGGAGCCCAGUCCCAGCUAUUUGCUGGGGCUGUUUACCCCGCCACGUCCAAUUUAGCCGUGGGGUUUGCUUUCGGAAAGGCCGCCCUUCCAGCCAGCUGCCUGCUGCCAUGUUGUGAGCUGUCCCCGGCUGCUGGGACGGGGCUCUGGGUGGGUGGCAAGGGCUGAGAAAUUAUCAUGGGUUUGAAAUUAUCUCGGGAUUUAAAGCCAUCCGGGAUGCUGGUCUUGGUCGCAUGCACGCCAGCAGCUUGCGGUGAGCUCCCUGCGAGAUGCUGCUCCCCGGCAGUGACCGCCCUGCCCCAAAGAGCUUAUGGGCGUGCAGGGGCUGUAAGACAUGGGCAGAAAGCAAAUGAGGACCUACAAAAUCUAGCGUCUUCCAAAUCCCCUCAUCUCAGCUUAUCAGCUCCUUGUUACUCAGAGGUUUAAUGAUUUUAGGGUUAGGAGAUGUAUUAUUUCCAUCUCACAAGCAUCAGGCUGAUGCAUGAAGGGACCAAGGGUAGGGUGGUGGCCGCGCAGAAGACCCGUGGCCGAGGAAAUGCCCACGCUUAUGUCUCAAUUAUCUGAAAAUCCUUUUCGCCGGGCUCAGCUGCUUCAAGUUUAUCUGCAUCUAUGCUGAAGCACUUGGAUUCAGUCCUAAUUUCCAGGAACGCCUGGUGCGGAAGACAUCCUUUUCCUUAAACUCUUGACCUUGCAAUGUCAACACUGGUGGUGUAGGGCCUUGCUUUGGCUUUGCGUCGCUGGAAAACCCACUUUAACUGAAAGCAGCCAGGCAGGUACACGUGUACAUCUAUAUGCUUUUAGACUGACUUCUUUUACUGAUGUAAUAAAUGUAAUA